rnacentral:misc_RNA from 1 species
GUGUGCAAUAUGAAGCUGAGUUCAGGCCUAAUAUGAGCAUCGUUGUGAAGGCACUCCAACCGCUUUUGAAGGCCCCAGCUCCUCAUCCUCCUCCUUCAGCAAGCUAAAAGCAAAGAAACAGUUACACCUUGAGUUGGAAAAUCUACAACUUGUGCGCAGUUUGGUUACUUUGCUUGCGGAUUCUUCUAAAUAUAUUUUUUGAUUGUUAGUAAAUGGGAUUGGAUGUGCAGGUUGGGGUUGGGAUUGGGCUGUUUAACAUCACUGAUGUAUCCUGUGUUGAAUACUGAUUCUUUUCUUUUUUUUUUUUUUAAGUCAUAAAAUGAU